rnacentral:rRNA from 1 species
UGCAGUCGAACGAAGUAGCAAUACUUAGUGGCAAACGGGUGAGUAUAAUGUGGGUAUCUGCCUUUUGGUUUGGAAUAACACGAGGAAACUUGUGCUAAUACUAAAUAAGCCUUCACAGGGAAAGCUUUAUGCGCCAAAAGAUGAGCCCGCACUUGAUUAGCUAGUUGGUAAGGUAAUGGCUUACCAAGGCAGCGAUCAAUAGCUGAUCUGAGAGGAUGAUCAGCCACAUUGGGACUGAGACACGGCCCAGACUCCUACGGGAGGCAGCAGUGGGGAAUCUUGCACAAUGGGGGAAACCCUGAUGCAGCGAUGCCGCGUGAGUGAGGAAGGCCCUUGGGUUGUAAAGCUCUUUCGUCGGGGAAGAAAAUGACUGUACCCGAAUAAGAAGGUCCGGCUAACUUCGUGCCAGCAGCCGCGGUAAUACGAAGGGACCUAGCGUAGUUCGGAAUUACUGGGCUUAAAGAGCUCGUAGGUGGUUAGAAAAGUUGGUGGUGAAAUCCCAAGGCUUAACCUUGGAACUGCCAUCAAAACUUUUUGACUAGAGUAUGAUAGAGGUAAGUGGAAUUUCUAGUGUAGAGGUGAAAUUCGUAGAUAUUAGAAAGAACACCAAUUGCGAAGGCAACUUUCUGGAUCAUUACUGACACUGAGGAGCGAAAGCAUGGGUAGCGAAGAGGAUUAGAUACCCUCGUAGUCCAUGCUGUAAACGAUGUGUGCUA